UACGUAGGGUGCAAGCGUUAAUCGGAAUUACUGGGCGUAAAGCGUGCGCAGGCGGUUAUAUAAGACAGUUGUGAAAUCCCCGGGCUCAACCUGGGAACUGCAUCUGUGACUGUAUAGCUAGAGUACGGUAGAGGGGGAUGGAAUUCCGCGUGUAGCAGUGAAAUGCGUAGAUAUGCGGAGGAACACCGAUGGCGAAGGCACUCUGCUGGGCCGAAACUGACACUGAGAGACGAAAGCUAGGGGAGCGAAUGGG
rnacentral:rRNA from 1 species